GGGCCCGCACAAGCGGUGGAGUAUGUGGUUUAAUUCGAUGCAACACGAAGAACCUUACCAGGGUUUGAAAUCAUUUCAAAAACUCCUUGAAAAAGGAGCCUCCUUCGGGAUGAAAUGACAGGUGGUGCAUGGCUGUCGUCAGCUCGUGUUGUGAAAUGUCGAGUUAAGUCUCGUAACGAGCGAACCCAUGUCUCUUGUUGCUCACUGAGUGCUUAAGAGAGACUGCCGACCAACAUCGGAGGAAGGUGUGGAUGAUGUCAAGUCAGCAUGCCCCUUACAUCCUGGGCUACACACGUACUACAAUGGUAAGGACAAUGAGCUGCGAUCCUGCGAAGGCUAGCCAA
rnacentral:rRNA from 1 species